GAGUAUCGUAGCCACGACGCGCGGCAGC
rnacentral:sRNA from 1 species